rnacentral:rRNA from 1 species
UACGUAGGCAGCGAGCGUUGUUCGGAGUUACUGGGCGUAAAGGGUGUGUAGGCGGUUCUUUAAGUUUGGUGUGAAAUCUCCCGGCUCAACCGGGAGGGUGCGCCGAAUACUGAGGGACUUGGAGUGCGGGAGAGGAAAGCGGAAUUCCUGGUGUAGCGGUGAAAUGCGUAGAUAUCAGGAGGAACACCGGUGGUGUAGACGGCUUUCUGGACCGUAACUGACGCUGAGACACGAAAGCGUGGGUAGCAAACAGG